AAAUUUCCUUUAGGCAUCCAUGUUUUUGACAACAGGUACCAGGCCCCCUUUCCCCUCCAGAAUUAUUGGACAAUGCGCGGUCUUUUUCUAACAACCAAGAUCAAUUUACUAAGGUUUGAGUUAUUAUUCUUUCUAUUGACCGGCUUGUUGGCAUAAAAAGAUCUGAAAGUUAAAGAUAGGCUAAACGCAAGUGUAAAGGUUAUUAUAAUGGAGCGCAUUAAGUAUCCAAAGGUUCGAAGAGAUGAAACAAAAGUUGAUGAAUACCAUGGUUAUAAAAUAUGUGACCCAUACUCUUGGCUAGAAGACCCUGACGCCCAAGAAACAAAAGAAUUUGUUCAAAAACAAAACGAAAUUAGUGUGCCUUUCCUAGAAGAGUGUAAAUUCAAGGAGAAAUUUAAAAAACGAAUGACUGAGUUAUGGAAUUAUCCAAAAUAUGGAUGUCCAUUUAAACAUGGAAAUAUGUAUUAUUAUUUUCAUAACAGUGGCCUUCAAAAUCAAAGUGUUCUUUAUUGCAAGGCAUCUCUCGAAGGAGAACCUCAAGUAUUUUUAGAUCCAAACACUUUUUCAAAGGAAGGAAAUAUUGCCAUAAGCAGUUAUUCAUUUUCAGAAGAUGGAGCAUUGCUUGCUUAUAGUCUAAGUGAAAGUGGAUCUGAUUGGGUCACUGUUCAUUUUAGAACAACUGGUGCUGGUGAGGUAAAGGAUUUUCCUGACAAGUUAUCGCAAGUAAAAUUCACUAGUUUGGAAUGGACCCAUGACAACAAAGGAAUUUUUUACAAUAGAUACCCAAAGACUUCAGAAAAAAGUGAUGGCACAGAAACUGAUCUUAACCUAAAUCAAAAGUUAUAUUAUCAUGUGCUGGGAACUAAACAAGAUGAAGAUGUUUUAUGCUGUGAAUUCACAGAAAACCCAGAAUGGAUGAUUGGAUCUGAAGUUAGCGACUGUGGUCGUUAUAUUAUUUUAAGUAUCCGUCAAGGUUGUGAUCCUGUCAAUAAACUUUAUUAUGUUGACCUUACAUCUCUCAAAGAAGGCAUUAAAGGACAUCUGCCCUUUGUGAAAAUUGUUGACAAUUUUGAUGCUGAGUAUGAUUAUAUAACCAACGAUGGUUCUCUGUUUACUUUCAAGACAAACUUAAACUCCCCAAAUUACAGGCUCAUCAAUAUUGAUUUUAAUAAUUUUGAUGAAGAGAACUGGAUGACCUUAGUUCCUGAAAAUUCAAAAGAUGUCUUGGAAUGGGCGUCUUGUGUCAAUAAUGACGUAUUAGUUCUGUGUUAUUUACAUGAUGUAAAGAGUGUUCUUUAUGUACAUCGUUUAUCUGAUGGAUCAUGUAUUAAGCAGUUUCCUCUUGAUAUUGGGAGCAUUGUUGGGUUUUCUGGACAGAAAAAACAAACGGAAAUAUUUUACCAGUUCACAAGCUUUUUAACUCCUGGAAUCAUUUAUCAUUGUGAUCUAUCAUUGGAGAAUUUUACACCAAAAAUUUUCCAUGAAACGGUUGUUGAAGGUUUUGAUGCGUCGCUCUAUGAAACUGUUCAAGUUUUUUAUCCUAGCAAGGAUGGCACAAAUAUUCCAAUGUUUAUUGUUCACAAAAAGAACAUUGAUAUGGACGCAAGUCAUCCUCUUUACAUGUAUGGCUAUGGUGGUUUUAAUAUUUCUGUUAAACCAAGUUUUAGUGUCUCUAGAAUUAUCUUUAUCCGUCAUCUUUCUGGUAUUGUAGCCGUGCCAAAUAUCAGAGGGGGAAGUGAGUACGGUGAACGUUGGCAUAAAGGUGGAAUGUUGGCUAAUAAGCAAAAUUGUUUUGACGAUUUCCAAUACGCUGCAGAGUAUCUCAUAGCGCACAAGUAUACCACAUCGGAAAGAAUUGCCAUUAAUGGUGCAUCCAAUGGAGGGCUGUUAGUCGGCGCAUGUGUUAAUCAGCGUCCUCAACUAUUCAAUUGUGCCGUAGCGCAAGUGGGUGUGAUGGAUAUGUUGAAGUUUCAUAAAUUUACGAUUGGGCAUGCAUGGGUAACUGACUAUGGUUGUUCAUCAGCGAAGGAGCAAUUUGAAAUGCUAAUCAACUAUUCUCCGUUACAUAAUAUCAAAAUACCAGAAACUGGCGUUCAAUAUCCCUCAGUCUUGUUGAUGACGGCUGACCACGAUGAUCGCGUUGUUCCUUUGCAUUCUUAUAAAUACAUAGCGCAACUGCAGUAUAUUAUGGGCAGCCAGGAGAUUCAAAGCAAUCCGCUGUUGAUUUUAGUGGACACAAAAGCUGGACACGGUGCGGGAAAACCAACUUUAAAAAGGAUAGAUGAUUGUGCGAAUAUGUUUGCUUUCAUUGCAAAAACAAUCAACAUAACGACAUGGAUAGAAUAAAAUACUGGCAGGUUCUCAGUACGUAUCAUCAUGAAAGAACAAAUGAUCACGGUGACAAGUUGUUUAGUGCGCCUGUCAGGUAGGCCAAUACAACCUGUAUGCUCUGUAUGGCAGACUUUCUAGCCGUUCGAACAUCUUCAUAACCAUCAGUGGUAAUUUUAUCUAACUCAAGAAUAUACUCCGUCAAUGUUCCAUCCAAAUAAACAUACUCUUUUGUACCUAAAGUAAAAUGAUUUUAUGGCAUUAACUGCAAA